rnacentral:lncRNA from 1 species
UAAAAUUUAAUUAAUUCAUAAGAUUGAUCUGCUGUAUGCCUAGACUAGUUGUAGAAUUGUUCUAGUAACUGUCUAGAAUAGAUUUUAUAUUGAAUAGUUUAAUUUAAAUCUUAUUUUUUAGAUGUUACAUGUGAUGUAUCAGAUCUGAAAGCAUGCUAAUUAGAUCAGAUUUUAAUACAUGAGAUAUAUGCAAAGCAUGUAUAAGUUAGAUCUGAAAUUAUAUAUGUGAUAUGUAACUUAGAUC